rnacentral:rRNA from 1 species
UACGGGGGGGGGGCAAGCGUUGUUCGGAAUUACUGGGCGUAAAGGGCUCGUAGGUGGCCAACUAAGUCAGACGUGAAAUCCCUCGGCUUAACCGGGGAACUGCGUCUGAUACUGGAUGGCUUGAGUUCGGGAGAGGGAUGCGGAAUUCCAGGUGUAGCGGUGAAAUGCGUAGAUAUCUGGAGGAACACCGGUGGCGAAGGCGGCAUCCUGGACCGACACUGACACUGAGGAGCGAAAGCCAGGGGAGCAAACGGG